rnacentral:rRNA from 1 species
CCUACGGGUGGCAGCAGUCGAGAAUCAUUCACAAUGGGGGAAACCCUGAUGGUGCGACGCCGCGUGAGGGAGUGAAGGUCUUCGGAUUGUAAACCCCUGUCGUAUGGGAGCAAAUUAAAGAGAUAGUACCACAAGACGACGAGACGGCUAACUCUAUGCCAGCAGCCGCGGUAAUACAGAGGACUGAAGCGCGGUUCGGAUUGACUGGGAGUAAAGGGUGCGUAGGCUGAUACGUAAGUCGUGAGUGAAAGGCGAGGGCUCAACCCGGGGACUGCAAAUGAUACUGCGAGACUAGAGUAAUGGAGGGGGAAGAGGAAUUCUUGGUGUAGCAGUGAAAUGCGUAGAUAUCGAGAGGAACACUCGUGGCGAAGGCGGGUUCCUGGACAUUAACUGACGCUGAGGCACGAAGGCCAGGGGAGCGAAAGGGAUUAGAUACCCCUGUAGUC